rnacentral:rRNA from 1 species
GUGGGGAAUAUUGGACAAUGGGCGAAAGCCUGAUCCAGCCAUGCCGCGUGUGUGAAGAAGGUCUUCGGAUUGUAAAGCACUUUAAGUUGGGAGGAAGGGCAGUAAGUUAAUACCUUGCUGUUUUGACGUUACCGACAGAAUAAGCACCGGCUAACUUCGUGCCAGCAGCCGCGGUAAUACGAAGGGUGCAAGCGUUAAUCGGAAUUACUGGGCGUAAAGCGCGCGUAGGUGGUUUUGUAAGUUGGAGGUGAAAUCCCCGGGCUCAACCUGGGAACUGCAUCCAAAACUGCAUGACUAGAGUACGGUAGAGGGUAGUGGAAUUUCCUGUGUAGCGGUGAAAUGCGUAGAUAUAGGAAGGAACACCAGUGGCGAAGGCGACUACCUGGACUGAUACUGACACUGAGGUGCGAAAGCGUGGGGAGCAAACAGGAUUAGAUACCCCAGUAGUCC